rnacentral:lncRNA from 1 species
CCGGGACCUCUGUGGGUGAUCAUGGAGGUGAGAGAGGAGUUGAUGUAGGCUAUAGAAUGAUCUCACUUCUGCUUCACAUUUUUCCCCCCGGAGUCUAAGGAGGUUCUGCUUACGGCAGAUGACCAGAAUGCAAUAAACCAAGCCAAACCAAGAGGAGAAACGACAGAAGGGACAAGGGCACGGGAAAGAACCGAGGAACAGGAAGCAGGCAAGAGUGCCGGGCAGAGCGUGUCUUUGGCAGCUCAGUUCAACUCCUUUUC